AUUGAACGCUGGCGGCAGGCCUAACACAUGCAAGUCGAGCGGAUGAAGGGAGCUUGCUCCUGGAUUCAGCGGCGGACGGGUGAGUAAUGCCUAGGAAUCUGCCUGGUAGUGGGGGAUAACGUCCGGAAACGGGCGCUAAUACCGCAUACGUCCUGAGGGAGAAAGUGGGGGAUCUUCGGACCUCACGCUAUCAGAUGAGCCUAGGUCGGAUUAGCUAGUUGGUGGGGUAAAGGCCUACCAAGGCGACGAUCCGUAACUGGUCUGAGAGGAUGAUCAGUCACACUGGAACUGAGACACGGUCCAGACUCCUACGGGAGGCAGCAGUGGGGAAUAUUGGACAAUGGGCGAAAGCCUGAUCCAGCCAUGCCGCGUGUGUGAAGAAGGUCUUCGGAUGGUAAAGCACUUUAAGUUGGAAGAAAGGGCAGUAAGUUAAUACCUUGCUGUUUUGACGUUACCAACAGAAUAAGCACCGGCUAACUUCGU
rnacentral:rRNA from 1 species